UGGGGAAUAUUGCGCAAUGGGCGAAAGCCUGACGCAGCGACGCCGCGUGGAGGAUGAAGGUCUUCGGAUUGUAAACUUCUGUUAAGUGGGAAGAAAAGUUCGGCUAUAAUACAGCCGGAAAAUGACGGUACCAUUAGAGAAAGCACCGGCUAACUUCGUGCCAGCAGCCGCGGUAAUACGAAGGGUGCAAGCGUUAUUCGGAAUAAUUGGGCGUAAAGGGUGCGCAGGCGGUGCGCUAAGUCAACUGUUAAAUCUCCCAGCCUAACUGGGAAUCAGCAGUAGAUACUGGCGUGCUUGAGGAUGGAAGAGAGAAGUGGAAUUCUCGGAGUAGCGGUAAAAUGCGUAGAUCUCGAGAGGAACACCGAUGGCGAAGGCAGCUUCUUGGUCCAUUCCUGACGCUCAUGCACGAAAGCGUGGGGAGCAAACAGG
rnacentral:rRNA from 1 species